rnacentral:rRNA from 1 species
UCGGGGAUAACAUUGCGAAAGCGAUGCUAAUACCGGAUGAUAUCCUUUGGAUUUCGAUUCUUUGGAUCAAAGGUGGCCUCUAGAUCUAAGCUAUUGUUUGGAGAUGAGCCCGCGUACCAUUAGCUAGUUGGUAGGGUAAUGGCCUACCAAGGCUGCGAUGGUUAGCUGGUCUGAGAGGAUGAUCAGCCACACUGGAACUGACACACGGUCCAG